rnacentral:rRNA from 1 species
GGCGAGUGAAGCGGCAACAGCUCAAAUUUGAAAUCUGGCUCUCGGGCCCGAGUUGUAAUUUGUAGAGGAUACUUUUGAUGCGGUGCCUUCCGAGUUCCCUGGAACGGGACGCCAUAGAGGGUGAGAGCCCCGUCUGGUUGGAUGCCAAAUCUCUGUAAAGUUCCUUCGACGAGUCGAGUAGUUUGGGAAUGCUGCUCUAAAUGGGAGGUAUAUGUCUUCUAAAGCUAAAUACCGGCCAGAGACCGAUAGCGCACAAGUAGAGUGAUCGAAAGAUGAAAAGCACUUUGAAAAGAGAGUUAAAAAGUACGUGAAAUUGUUGAAAGGGAAGCGUUUAUGACCAGACUUGGGCUUGGUUAAUCAUCUGGGGUUCUCCCCAGUGCACUUUUCCAGUCCAGGCCAGCAUCAGUUUUCCCCGGGGGAUAAAGACUUCGGGAAUGUGGCUCUCUUCGGGGAGUGUUAUAGCCCGUUGUGUAAUACCCUGGGGGGGACUGAGGUUCGCGCAUCUGCAAGGAUGCUGGCGUAAUGGUCAUCAACGACC